GCUCUGUGAUGUGCUUCCUGACC
rnacentral:piRNA from 1 species